ACGGGUGCAGGUCCAAGUAUGGAUGGUGUUUGGCAGAAGUGAAUUCUAUUGGGCUUGGGGCUUAAGCCCAGGAUUACUCUCCUUCGUGAACGGGGUGUGUGAAUAGCGCUUGGAUUUUCCAAGAAUCAGGAAGGGUAUGUGCAUGAACGGGGGUGUGAAUAGCGCUUGGAUUUGCCAAGAAUCAAUCUGUUUAGGCCUAAGGCCCAAACCAAAUUCCAGGUUCAACUAAGCAGGACAGCUAAUCUAGGAGGAAUAUUCAAAGGCGAAAAAAACAAACACCACCAAAAAUCUCAUAGCGGCGCCUUCAUGGCAUUCAUCACUGCAUUUUCACAUAGCUCUUCACCUUCUCGGCGUCAUGCCUCCAUCCAAGACUUACGUCGCGUUCGCAUCCCCGCGUCUUGGAGCAUCGUUUGAUCGGAGUCGUCGUGUACGUGGAUCCAAAUUUCACCGUGUUUCCAAGUGUGUCUUUUUCUUCGUGCAAAAACAUAUGAGUAGAAAACAGACUCAGAUUCACCAUGUGGCUUCAUCAUUAGGUCGAAUUCAUCGUCGUCUUCAUCAACUCCGAAUUGCAAGAUUCAACAUCAAAACAAAAUCUAUGAAACUUCGCAUCUCGCGCGUGGAAUGGUGAAACACCACAUAUGAAUUGAUAAUCGAAUCAAGAAGAAGAAUUCUUACUGGAUUGGAUUUUAAGAACACUUAAUGAUGGAGCUCUGAUGCUAUGCUUUCAUGUAUCGAAAUCAUUCUAUUUUUCCUCUGCUCUUCUUUGUUCUGAACACUUUUUCUUCUUCGUACUUCUCUUAUGUAGAUCGUAGGAAUGGAAAAAAAGUUGUUGAUUCGUGAUAUUGCUCGCUGCGUUGUGUAUUUGAGGGAGCUUGUGUUGCAGAUUGCAGAAUGAAGUUCUCAGGUUACAAAGUGGAGAAAAUUGAUUGCAGAAUGAAGAAAACUUGGUGGAGAAUGAAGAAGAAGGUUGCGGUGAAUUUUUGGUGUCAGAAUGGUGAGUUCGUGUCGAAGCAAAGAAAUUGCAGGAAGAACAAUUGAUGCAGUAUGAGGAGUACUGAGAUGCAGAAUGAAAAAAUCCUCCUCAAGUCACAGUGCAGCUGUGCUUAAAUAGAACCAAAAGUUUGUUAGAAAUUCAAUGGAAAUUUACAUGAAAUGAACUCUAAUUAGAAAUGCAGGAUUUCUGUAAUUAGUUAGUUAAAAAUUUAGCUGAAAACUGAAAUGAAAUUAUCUUGAAAUUCAUUAUAAAUUUAGUCUGAAAUGAAUCGAAAUGUGAUAUAUUUUUUUAGAAUGAAAUAAAUUAGAUAGCAAAUUGAAAUGUUAGUUGGAAAUGUAAAUUCAAAUGAAAUGGAAAUGCAUUAAGUUGAAUUUGGAUUUAGUUUCAAUAUGGGUUUGAAUCUAAUUGAAUAUGACUUGAGUGAAUGUGUAACUUAAUUUGGCUUUAUUUUUUUGUAACUGUUACGCGGCUGUUGGUUAUGGUGGACUUCAAAAUUUUCAGGGUUAUGAGUUCUUUUAGCAAAUGUGCAGGGUGUACGAUAGUUGUGAAGUUUUUGUCCAUGCCCUAUUAAAAGGAAAUCUGCAGGUGUAUGCGUGAUAAGUUCUGCUAUGCAUUUAUCCAAUAUUCAAGUUGCUUGGAAUACAUGUUUAACAGGGCCUCGUGGAAUGAAGUUAUUUUUGCAGGGGCAUACACGCAAAAAAUAGUGGAAAGGCCAAAUCUCCCAUACAUAAAGUGUUCAAAGCAUGCCAUAAGGAGUGGGAUUCACCAAGAAAACAAGCAAAUGGAGCCUUGGGAAGCUUGGAAGGAUAUGGGAUGAUGGAUCAUGAUGAAAAGAUUAGGGUUUUUAGGAUUUUUAGAAUUAGGUGGUUGACUUUGGUCAACUGUUGACCAAAAAGUCAAUAAAUGACUAAAAAGUCAACUUUGCCAAAAUCUCCAAUUUUGUAACUAUUCAUAAUGGACAAUGUAAAAUGAAACUUGAAUGUAAUGAGAACUUAUUUACUUUAAUGCAAAAAUGCUUUUACA